UAACGCUGGAAGUUGAAUCUAGACAAAUUCAGACUAGAACUAAGGCACAAAUUUUCAACAGAGAAGGUAAUUAACCCCUGGAACAACUUCCCAAGGGCUGGACUGGAUUCUCCAUCACUGGAAAAAUUUUAAUCAAGACUUUUUUUUUUUUUUUUUAUGAGAUGCUCUAGUUCAGAGGUGGGCAAACUACGGCCCGCAAGACCAUCCUGCCUGGCCCGGGAGGCUGUCCGCCCUCCCCCACGUGGCACAAUACUCUGGGCAGCGCAGCUGCAGAGCCCGGCCUGACCCGGUGCUCUGUGCUGCCCGGCGCAGCGCAGCUGCCUGUCCUGGUGCAGCCGCGCUGCCAACCACCGGUGCUCCAGGCAGCAUGGGCAAAAAUCUUCUGCAACAAUGAAGGCUUGGGCUUCUGAGCAGUGGCUGCAGAACUUUUGGAUGCACAAGUCCACAUUUCUGCAUCUGUGUGCAAAACUCACCAAAAUAAAAGCUGCACUGACAAUGGAGAAGCAAAUAUAAUUGCACUAUGGGGACCUGCAACACCAGAUUAUUAUUCAAUCAGUGGUCUCUCUCCUAAACCAAGGUGGAAUGGAUUUCUUUAAUGUAAGUAGUCACAACAUAUUGUUAAAGAUCAUUUUAUGCUCAAUGCCCAGUUAACACCUCUGCAGUCACAGGUGAUGCCAGUCAGCUCAGUCUUCUUGGGGAACCAGGGCACAGUAUCCAGCCUAUCUGACUCAUGAAAGGUCACCCACCCACUUGAACCAAAACCGAUCAGAGAAAAAACUUGCACAGAGCAGUGAAUGGCGGUGUGAAACACACCUAGACCCCUCAUGACAAGAGUGACAAGAUUAAGGCAACUCCCCUAUCCUCAUCUGCAUGAAAGAUGGAACAGAGCCAUGUCCAUUAGCAUACCGAAUGGAGAAUAGAGGCCACUCUCCUAGCUUCAUCUGCAUGAAAGAUGGGAAAAGGAGACAUCUCAUUGGCAUACAUUAGUAUGGCAUCUCAUUGGCAUACAUUCGACUAAUGUUUUGUGAUGACCCAGUGUUUCCAGAAGAAGUCUCAGAGAAUUACACGUUAAGUGUAUGUUAUUACCAGCACCUUUCGUGUACACAUGGCAUUCAGUGUGUCUUCAUUUCACAAAUACAACCCCUUCUCCAUUUGUUUACAAAGAUCCCAGAUAUGAAUACAUUCGGAGAAGAUUUCUGCAAAGAGUACAGCAUAAAUAUGAAAUCGAGACAUGAUGCUGACAUUGUACUGGCUCUAAGUAACAUUUCUAAAGCACAAGAAAAUCAACAAAGACGUUAUGCUAAAAGAGACUUCUAAAUAUGGGGAAAUAACAUUUGAUGUUAGGGACUGUGUUCUGUUACUGAAUGCUAGAAAGAGAGCAAGAAAAGGAAGAAUGCUGCAACCUACCUAUCGGGGACCGUACAAAAUUACGACUGUUGAAGGUAAGAGAGUGAAAUUAUAAACCAUAUCAGGGAAACUGUUAGGAACCAUGUACAGCAUCACACACUUUUACACACAUCACACACACACACAUCAACCAUUUAAAGAGCCACCAACAUUAGCUGCUGAAAGCACAUCAGAGGAAAACAUCGGAACUGAAAUUGCAGUUGGUGACACUGAACCAGAAACACCCUCAGAAGAGAUUAGAAAAGUGGAUGGCACUGUAUCUCACAAGUCUCAUGACAGCACAGUGAAAAACAUAGAGGUCACAGCAAUGGAAGAAGAGGAGUAUAUAGGGCAAGAUGUCUCAAGCAAUGAUACAAGUGAUGCUGAGGACAAUUCUGAUGACAUGCUUAUGGAGGAGGUGGAAGACAAGCAAUGGAUUCUGAAAGUCAAAUUUGUAAUGACCGGCAAACACACAGAGAGACUGGAGACCAAAAUGAGAAAAAUCAAAUUGUAUGGCUCUUCAUUUCAUUGCCUGAAACCAAGAAGCUGGAUAAGUGAUGAGGUUAUUGAUGCAUAUUUGAGCUGUGUGGUCUAGAAAGCAGAUGGAGAGGUAGGCUACUUACUGUGAUGGUACAUGAAAGUAUACAUUGUAUCAAUAAGUAAACAAUCACGUGAAUAUGUGGUCCAACAUAUUUAAGUCCAAAUACCCUUGAAAUAUCAGCAGUUGCUGCAUUUCAAUCAGAAUUGCAAUAUUUCAGUGUAUUUACUGCUGCCAAACAUUUACUGAAAUGUAUUUGGAGGUGCAUAUCAGACAUACAAUACUUGACUAAUUGAGGGCCACAUUAGUUUUGCUGUACAAUUCAGUGGGUCCAUUAGUUAAACACAAGUAUGCAAACAGCUUAGUCAGUUUUUACGUUAAGUAAGACAGAGCACAUUGAUUACAAAUCUUUUUGUUUUUACAUGACUCUCUUACAUAUCUGAUUUGUAACACUAAGGAUCCCUUGAUCUACAUUUCAUGGUUUGCUUCACUGGAAACUAUAAUUGCAUUUCUAAUUUAUUUUAAAAUGAAUACGGAGUGAAAUUCUUCAAAACGAUAUAUUAUUGCUUCCUUACCACACACCAGGUCAUUGGGUUCUUGCGAUAAGAUGUUUUGUAUUUUAAUUCUGGAUUAUGGGCAAUAAAUGUGGUAUUAUAUAAGAGAUUUGUAACACAGCUGGGUAGCAGUGAUAUAAUUUCCUGUGUUGCGGGUUUUCAGUGAGUUCAGUGCACGCAAAGGAAAGUGGAAUGUGAAUGUAAAAAAUAAAAUGCUACUGUGAAGUUAUGUUGUUAAUGUCACUUGGAAGAAUAUGGUCUGUAAUGAAUUGAUCAAUGAUUUCACAAUAUUCUGUUCUCUUGUGUGUUGUGAGACAUUACAAAUGAGAAUAUGUUAAUGGAAUGAUUUUUGAUAAAUCAUUAUAAAAUUGUUGAAAUCAUCACAUUACCAAUAUAAUUUGUACAUAUAUUUACACUUACAGAUAGAUAGCCUUGAUUGGGGGAAAAAAAGGAAUUGUUAAUAAUUGACCCCUUGUGUGAUGAGAUGAGAUCUGAAAGAACAUACCUGAGGAAUUGGAGGUGUUUUAUUAGAUACUUACUUUUACAGUGUACAUGAACUGUUACUGUGAAAAAAAUUUUCAGGGAAUGUAACAAUAGUGAGACUAAUACCUUCCUGUAGCUACAAAUAAAAAUUGAAACAGCAUGUACUUGUACUGAAUAUGCUUAGUAACAGACUUUGAGCGAACUUGUGUGAUUUGAUUCUGGGUAACAACUUCAUAGAAUGUGGACACAAAACAGUAGCAUGUUGCAUGAUUGAGAAGGUGUUAUUAUCAACAUGGGGCACAGCAAAUCAGGUGAUACAUUGUGUAAGAGUGAGACAAUAAUAUGAAAGCAAGUGUGUGUGUGUGUGUGUGUGUGU